GAUGAACGCUGGCGGCGUGCUUAACACAUGCCAGUCGAACGAAGCACUUUAUUUGAUUUCCUUCGGGACUGAUUAUUUUGUGACUGAGUGGCAGACGGGUGAGUAACGCGUGGGUAACCUGCCUUGUACAGGGGGAUAACAGUUGGAAACGGCUGCUAAUACCGCAUAAGCGCACAGCAUCGCAUGAUGCAGUGUGAAAAACUCCGGUGGUAUAAGAUGGACCCGCGUUGGAUUAGCUAGUUGGUGAGGUAACGGCCCACCAAGGCGACGAUCCAUAGCCGACCUGAGAGGGUGACCGGCCACAUUGGGACUGAGACACGGCCCAAACUCCUACGGGAGGCAGCAGUGGGGAAUAUUGCACAAUGGGCGAAAGCCUGAUGCAGCGACGCCGCGUGAGCGAAGAAGUAUUUCGGUAUGUAAAGCUCUAUCAGCAGGGAAGAUAAUGACGGUACCUGACUAAGAAGCACCGGCUAAAUACGUG
rnacentral:rRNA from 1 species